rnacentral:rRNA from 1 species
UACGUAGGGGGCUAGCGUUGUCCGGAAUCAUUGGGCGUAAAGGGCGCGUAGGCGGCCUGGCAAGUGGAAGGUGAAAUCCCUCGGCUUAACCGAGGAACUGCCCUCCAAACUGCUUGGCUUGAGUCCGGGAGAGGUGAGUGGAAUUCCCAGUGUAGCGGUGAAAUGCGUAGAUAUUGGGAGGAACACCAGUGGCGAAGGCGGCUCACUGGACCGGAACUGACGCUGAGGCGCGAAAGCGUGGGGAGCAAACGGG